UACGGGAGGCAGCAGUGGGGAAGUAAUUGCACAAUGGGCGCAAGCCUGAUGCAGCCAUGCCGCGUGUAUGAAGAAAGGCCUUCGGGUUGUAAAGUACUUUCAGUCGUGAGGAAGGUGUUAAGGUUAAUAACCUUAGCAAUUGACGUUAGCGACAGAAGAAGCACCGGCUAACUCCGUGCCAGCAGCCGCGGUAAUACGGAGGGUGCGAGCGUUAAUCGGAAUUACUGGGCGUAAAGGACACGCAGGCGGUUAAUUAAGUUGGAUGUGAAAUCCCCGGGCUUAACCUGGGAAUGGCAUUCAAGACUGGUUAGCUAGAGUCUUGUAGAGGGGGUAGAAUUCCAUGUGUAGCGGUGAAAUGCGUAGAGAUGUGGAGGAAUACCGGUGGCGAAGGCGGCCCCUGGACAAAGACUGACGCUCAUGUGCGAAAGCGUGGGGAGCGAAACAGGGAUUAGAUACC
rnacentral:rRNA from 1 species